rnacentral:rRNA from 1 species
UACGGAGGGGGCUAGCGUUGUUCGGAAUUACUGGGCGUAAAGCGCACGUAGGCGGAUCUUUAAGUCAGGGGUGAAAUCCCGGAGCUCAACUCCGGAACUGCCUUUGAUACUGGGAAUCUUGAGUUCGAGAGAGGUGAGUGGAACUGCGAGUGUAGAGGUGAAAUUCGUAGAUAUUCGCAAGAACACCAGUGGCGAAGGCGGCUCACUGGCUCGAUACUGACGCUGAGGUGCGAAAGCGUGGGGAGCAAACAGG